GGGGAUUUAGCUUAGUGGCAUAAGCACCUGCCUUGCAAGCAGGUGGUCGUGAGUUCAAUCCCUU
rnacentral:tRNA from 1 species